rnacentral:rRNA from 1 species
GGUCGCCAUGCAGAGUCUGACGGAGCACGCCGCGUGAGUGAUGAAGGUUUUCGGAUCGUAAAGCUCUGUUGUUAGGGAAGAACAAGUGCGAGAGUAACUGCUCGCACCUUGACGGUACCUAACCAGAAAGCCACGGCUAACUACGUGCCAGCAGCCGCGGUAAUACGUAGGUGGCAAGCGUUGUCCGGAAUUAUUGGGCGUAAAGGGCUCGCAGGCGGUUUCUUAAGUCUGAUGUGAAAGCCCCCGGCUCAACCGGGGAGGGUCAUUGGAAACUGGGAAACUUGAGUGCAGAAGAGGAGAGUGGAAUUCCACGUGUAGCGGUGAAAUGCGUAGAGAUGUGGAGGAACACCAGUGGCGAAGGCGACUCUCUGGUCUGUAACUGACGCUGAGGAGCGAAAGCGUGGGGAGCGAACAGGAUUAGAUACCCUGGUAGUCCACGCCGUAAACGAUGAGUGCUAAGUGUUAGGGGGUUUCCGCCCCUUAGUGCUGCAGCUAACGCAUUAAGCACUCCGCCUGGGGAGUACGGUCGCAAGACUGAAACUCAAAUGUUUGUGGACACGGGGA